ensembl:lncRNA
GUUUAAUAAUUGACAACAUUUUAGAAUAAUUUUUAUUUUGGGGUGUGUACUACCUCUUUAAAUCUAAAGGCCUGUUCUUCUUCUCCAAGAGUAAGGAGGAUGGAAACCAGAGGAAGUGAGUGGAUGGUGCUGUUAUACAAUAGGAAAGGCCGUGGGGCAAUUGUGCCCAUAAUACGACUGAGGUGAAGCAGGCUGAGGAGGUGAAGGGUGCCAAUCCAUGAUUCUGUGAGUGGAAAGAUGGGGCAGAAUGCGGAAUGGAGAGUAGACGAAUGAGCAGUCGAGAUGGAUGGUCAGUGUGGUGACUCUUGUAUUUACCUCUGAAAGCCUGUCUACAGUAUGUGCGGCUGGACUCAAAUAUCACAUUAGGAAAUGUUAAACAGUUCAUCAGUGGCUUUGUCUCUCUCCUGUGCUUUGCUUUCCCCCACUGACUUAACAGUUAAAGCAGAAAAUCUGAAAUGUCUGACUCAGUUGGCACAGCAUCAGGGGGCAAUCAGUCACUUUGUGUUACAUCAUGGAUGGCAGGUCAAGUAGAACAGACCCAAUAGCUUUACUGACUGCUGGCCAAAGUAGAGUUUCAGCCAUCCUUCACCUUGCUAGGAAGUGCUAAAAUAAACAGUCAUUCGGUUAGUCUGAAUAAUCAGUUGAGGAU